rnacentral:rRNA from 1 species
UACGAAGGGGGCGAGCGUUGUUCGGAAUCACUGGGCGUAAAGGGCGCGUAGGCGGCAUGGCAAGUCGGGAGUGAAAGGCCUGGGCUCAACCGAGGAACUGCUUUCGAGACUGCCAAGCUAGAGUGCGGAAGGGGCAUCUGGAAUUCCCAGUGUAGCGGUGAAAUGCGUAGAUAUUGGGAAGAACACCUGAGGCGAAGGCGGGAUGCUGGGCCGACACUGACGCUGAGGCGCGAAAGCCAGGGGAGCAAACGGG